rnacentral:rRNA from 1 species
AUCGAACGCUGGCGGCAGGCCUAACACAUGCAAGUCGAACGAGUGGCGGACGGGUGAGUAAUGUCUGGGAAACUGCCUGAUGGAGGGGGAUAACUACUGAAACGGUAGCUAAUACCGCAUACCAUCGGAUUCGGCCAGAUGGGAUUAGCUAGUAGGGGGGGUAAAGGCUCACCUAGGAGACGAUCCCUAGCGGGUCUGAGAGGGUGACCAGCCACACUGGAACUGAGACACGGUCCAGACUCCUACGGGAGGCAGCAGUGGGGAAUAUUGGACAAGGGGCGAAAGCCUGAUGCAGCCAUGCCGCGUGAAUGAAGAAGGCCUUCGGGUUGUAAAGUACUUUCAGCGGGGAGGCGUUACCCGCAGAAGAAGCACCGGCUAACUCCGUGCCAGCAGCCGCGGUAAUAC